rnacentral:tRNA from 1 species
CCUCUCAUGGCGUAGUGGUUAACGCGCCCCAACUAGAGAUCGGGGAGUCGUGAGUUCGAUUCUCACUGAGACGC